rnacentral:rRNA from 1 species
GACGAACCGUCCUAACGUUAUUCGGAUUCACUGGGCUUAAAGGGCGCGUAGGCGGACGAGCAAGUCCGGGGUGAAAUCUUUCGGCUUAACCGGAAAAGUGCCUUUGAUACUGGCGAGCUCGAGGGAGGUAGGGGUAUGCGGAACUUCUGGUGGAGCGGUGAAAUGCGUUGAUAUCAGAAGGAACGCCGGUGGCGAAAGCGGCGUACUGGACCUCUUCUGACGCUGAGGCGCGAAAGCUAGGGGAGUCAAACAGG